AGUGCAGGCGGCUACGUCAGUCGGAUGUGAAAGCCCCGGGCUUAACCUGGGAAUUGCAUUCGAUACUGCGUGGCUAGAGUCUGAUAGAGGGAAGUGGAAUUCCAGGUGUAGCGGUGAAAUGCGUAGAUAUCUGGAGGAACAUCAGUGGCGAAGGCGGCUUCCUGGAUCAAGACUGACGCUCAGGCUCGAAAGCGUGGGUAGCAAACAGGAUUAGAUACCCUGGUAGUC
rnacentral:rRNA from 1 species